GGCGGUGGGUGCUGACCUGUCUGGGAUUUUGAUGCCGAGGCGGAACAUCUCUGCCUGGAAGGUCUGCAUGUCCUGGCAGAGCGGGCAGCGGAAGUGGUGCAGGGCAGCGCUCAGAGCUUGGGCCUGGGGAAGGCAGAAGAUGAGCUGGGGGCCCGUGCGCAUUGCCCCAGGGUUGGGGACGAUGCCAGGGUGGCAGGGUUGGGUGGUGCUGGGGAUGGUGCUGUGGUCUGGAGGCAAUGCCGCCUACCUGGAUGCACUGGCGGUGGAACUGAGCGCCGGUGCAGGAGGGACAGACCAGGGUGGUGUAGGUGGGGCGUCCCUCCACCGCCUCCAAGCAGACGGCACACUGCGGGUUCUCCUGUUGCAGUGGCCUCACCUGCUGGGUCGGCCGGUGCUGCCAGCAGAAGGACCUGCAGGAUGGAUGGAGGUGGCAGCUCAGCUCCUGCCCCAUCCAUCCUGCAGCCCCGCGGGUGCCUGCACUCACCUGUAUUCUCCGAAAAACUGGGAGAUGCAGCCGCGUUCUCUUCCGCAGGGGAAGUGGAAGGUGCGGGAGCAUCUGCGGUGAUGGCAGCGGACCGAGGCGCCCUGGUUCUGGCAGACGCAGCAUUUCUGGGGACAGCAGUGCGGUGCUGGGCGUCAGUGCCGUGCACACACAGCAGUGGGAGAGCAGCUGUUCUGUCCUGGAUAGCUCCAGCAGUGCCUGCACGCGGAAGUGCUCCGGCUGCAGAGGGAGCUGCUCGUAGCUCCCUCUUGUUCUUGGUGACCAGGCUGCAGGGAGAAGAGCGCCGUUGCGGCAAUGGGGUGCCGCAGGGAGGAAGUCCGGAAGGCGAAAGCCCGUCUUGAACUUGGAUUGGCCACUGCAGUAAAGGAGAAUAAGAAAUCCUUCUACAAAUACACCAAUGGCAAGAGAAAAACCAAGGGUAAUGUCUGUCCUUUAAUUGAUGCGGCAGGGAACGUGACCACAGAUGACAAGGAGAAGGCUGAGGUCCUCAGCGCCUUCUUUACAUCUGCCUUUAAUAGUCAGAGCAGCUAUCUUCGGGGCACUUUGUGCCCUGAUCUGGAUAUCUGGGCUGAUACGCAGCAUGUCUCCCCGGAGAUUGAGGUGGAGGCCGUUAGGGAGCUCCUCCUCCAUCUGGACAGUCACAAGUCCAUGGGAGCGGAUGGGCUUCAUCCUAGGGUGCUGAGGGAGUUGGCUGGGGUGAUUGCUGAGCCGCUCUCGGCUAUCUGCCAGCGCUCCUGGUUGACUGGAGAGGUUCCAGAGGAUUGGAGGCUUGCUGGUGUGACGCCCAUCUACAAGAAGGGCCGUAAGGAGGAUCCGGGAAAGCACAGGCCUGUCAGCCUGACCUCAGCGCCAGGGAAGGUGAUGGAACAAAUCCUCCUGGGAGAGAUCACACGGCUCGCCAGCAUGGGUUCAUGAAAGGCAGGUCGUGUUCGACCAACCUCAUCUCCUUCUACGACUGGGUGAGCAGACUGGUAGAUGGGGGAAAGGCUGUUGAUGCAUCUACUUAGACUUCAGCAAAGCCUUUGACACGGUCUCUCACAGUGUCCUUCUGCGGAAACUGGCUGCCCGUGGCUUGGACAGUUUUACCCUCCGUUGGAUAAGGAACUGGCUGGAGGGCCGUGCUCAACGGGUGGUGGUCAAUGCAGUGAAGUCCAGCUGGAGACCUGUUUCACGUGGUGUCCCCCAGGGGUCGGUGCUGGGGCCCAUCCUGUUUAAUAUCUUCAUUGACGACUUAGAUGAAGGGACUGAGUGCACCCUGAGUAAGUCUGCAGAUGACACCAAGCUGGGAGGUGGUGUCGAUCUGCCUGAGGGCAGGGAGGCCCUGCAGAGGGAUCUGGAUCAGCUGGAUCGCUGGGCCGAGGUGAAUGGGGUGAGGUUUAACAAGGCCGAGUGUCGGGUCCUGCACUUUGGCCACAGCAAUGCCAUGCAGCGCUACAGGCUUGGGGAUGAGUGGCUGGAUGAGUGUGAGGAGGAAAGGGACCUGGGCUGAACAUGAGCCGACAGUGUGCCCGGGUGGCCAGGAGGGCCGACGGCAUCCUGGCCUGCAUUGGAAAUGGUGUGGCCAGCAGGAGCAGGGAGGUGAUGAGCAUCCCCCUGUACUCUGCACUGGUGAGGCCGCACCUCGAGUGCUGUGCUGUUUUGGGCCCCUCACUACAAGAAAGACAUGGAGGCCCUGGAACGUGUGCAGAGAAGGGCAACGAAAUGGUGAGGGGUCUGGAGCACAAACCUUACGAGGAGCGGCUGAGGGAGCUGGGAUUGUUCAGUGUGGAGAAGAGGAGGCUCAGGGGAGACCUCAGUGCACUGUGCAACUGCAUGAAGGGAGGCUGUGGUGCAAAAGGUUCUGGCCUCUUCUCCCAGGCAAAUAGUAGGAGCCGAGGAAAGGGCCACAAGUUGUACCAGAGGAGGUUGAGGUUGGACAUGAGGAGAAACUUCUCUCAGAGGGUGGUCAGGCACUGGAGUGGCUGCCCAGGGAGGUGGUGGAGUCGCCAUCCCUGGCAGUGUUCAAGGGGCGCCUGGAUGAGGAGCUACGAGAGAUGGUUUAGUAGCUUGUGGUACUGAUAGGAACGGGAGGGGGGUUGGACCAGAUGAUCUUGCAGGUCGUUUCCAACCUUGCGAUUCUGUGAUUCUGUAACCUCUCCCCCCCACACAUGCUCACGCCCGUUGGCAGAGUGUGCAGCAGAAGCGCUGCAGGGCAGCUCAGCUGAUGCGGCACACAGGAGGAUAGCGUCGGUGCAGCCCCAGGCGGUCCUGGCCCAGCAGGCAGCCAAAGGAGCCAGCACCACCAGAGCGACAGCUUCCUGCAGGAGGGAACCGGGAUCCUGCAGCUGCAUCCAGGAGCAUUGGUGGAACAGCAUUGGGGCUGGGAGCCAAGGCCUGGGCAGCCAGCAGGCAGUGCUCGUGAAUGCAGAGCCUGUCCUGCCAGCACGCCUCUCGGGUCCCUGGUCUGCCCUCUGGCACAGCCCACGUCCUGCCACUGCCACUGGAUGGUAGCAUCGCUACCCGCUGCUGUGCUGCAGGGUAACGCCAGCACACGGCAGAGGCACAUGGCCUUUGCGAGUCCUCUGUGCUCCCCUUCUUCCUCACCAACACGCUGCUUCGUGUCUGCAGGGUGCAGGCAGGGAGCUGCAGCCACCUGGGGCCUCAGCUCCGUCCACGGCAUGCUCAUCUGGAGCCAAGUGCCCCUGGAGCCAAGUGCCAUCCGUACCCGGGGUAGCAGGACUGGAGCUGGGUGGCUGCAGGGCUCUGCUCUGUACCAGGCCUGCCCCCAGCUCUCCUUCCAUUUCUGUCUCGCAGCAGCAUUGCUGGGCAGGGGGUUUCAUGGGACAAAGACCAUGAAGAGUGCAUCGCACUGAGAGAAAUAUGCGGUUGACCUUGAGAAAUGCUGCUGCCCCCUUCCCUCCUCUCGAGCUGUGGCCUGCUGGGACGAGGCUUGUCUUGCUGCGUCAUAGGAUCCUAGAACGGCCUGGGUUGGAAGGGACCUCAACAGCCAUUAAGCUCCUCCCCCCCUGCUGCAGGCAGGGCCACCAACCUCCGUAUCUAAUCCGUAUAGAAACAUACAUCUGUAUAUACCUAUACGCAGGCUGCCCAGGGCCCCACUCAACUUGGCCCUGAACACCUCCAGGGACGGGGGAUGCACAGCCUCUGUGGGCAGCCUGUUCCAGCUCCUCCCCGCUCUCAUAGUCAAGAGCAUCCCUGACGUCCAACCUGAACCUUCCCUCCUUCAACUUCAAACCAUUCCCCCCUGUCCUGCUGUUACCUCCCCUUUCAAAGAGUUGACUCCUCCCUCUCCUGUUGGCAGGCUCCCUUCAGGUGCUGGAAAGCUGUCCUGAGGUCACCCCUCAGCCCUCUCUUCUCCAGGCCCAACAAGCCCAGCUCCCUCAGCCUGGAGGGCUUCGUAGGGGAGCUGCUCCAGCCCCCUGAUCAUCUCUGUGGCUCUCCUCUGGACCCUCUCCAACAGCUCCCUGUCUUUCCUGUACUGGGGGCUCCAGACCUGCACACAGUACUGCAGAUGACCAUCACCUCCCUGUCCCUGCUGCCACCCCCCUCGUGAUGGAGCCCAAGACAGCUUUUGCUUUCCAAGCUGCAGAGCACGCUGCUGGCUCCCGUUCCGUUUGUAAUCCACCAGGGCCCCCAGGUCCCUCCGUGCCCGGCUGUCCCAAAGGACUUCUCCUCCCAGUCUGCACCUACGCCUGGGAUUCCUCCAGCCCUACUGCAAAACCCUGCACUGUGCUGCGUCGAACCUCCCUACAUUGGCCUGGGCCCACCAUUCCAGCCUGUCGAGGUCCUUCCAGGCUGGCUGCCUGUCCCUCUCUAAGAGCACCCGCCCCGCAGACAGCACCGCGGUAGGAGCCUCACGGUGGGCCACGGACGACUGGCAUUUCAUCUCGCAAGGGCUAUCGGGGAAGCAGAAAAGACUUCUUCGCGUGUAUCGACAGCACACAGAAAAGCAGCGAAGACGCGGGCCUGCGGGGCGAUGGGGCCGGCCGCGCUAACGAAGCAUUCGGAGAAGGCCGAGCGAGCGCAGGGCUGCGCAGCGGGGAAGGGGCGGCGCGGCGCUCUGUGCGGCCGGACGAGAAGAGCGGCGCGGCCCGCGCGAAAUGGCGGCGUGCCCG